rnacentral:rRNA from 1 species
CCUACGGGUGGCAGCAGUGGGGAAUAUUGCACAAUGGGCGAAAGCCUGAUCCAGCAACGCCGCGUGAAGGAAGAAGGGUUUCGGCUCGUAAACUUCUUUCAACAGGGACGAAAGAAAUGACGGUACCUGCAUAAGAAGCCCCGGCUAACUACGUGCCAGCAGCCGCGGUAAUCCGUAGGGGGCAAGCGUUAUCCGGAAUUAUGGGGGGUAAAGGGUGAGUAGGCGGCAUGGUAAGCCAGAUGUGAAAGCCUUGGGCUUAACCCGAGGAGUGCAUUUGGAACUAUCAUGCUAGAGUGCAGGAGAGGAAAGCGGAAUGCCGAGUGUAGCGGUGAAAUGCGUAGAUAUUAGGAAGAACACCAGUGGCGAAGGCGGCUUUCUGGACUGAAACUGACGCUGAGGCACGAAAGCGUGGGGAGCGAACAGGAUUAGAUACCCGGGUAGUC